GCGGGGGUGCCCGAGCCAGGUCAAAGGGGCAGAGGAGAGGUCCGCCCAAGGUUUAGGUCCCUGUGGCGUAGGCCUGCGUGGGUUCAAAUCCCACCCCCCGCA
rnacentral:tRNA from 1 species